AUUGAACGCUGGCGGCAUGCCUUACACAUGCAAGUCGAACGGUAACAGGUCUUCGGAUGCUGACGAGUGGCGAACGGGUGAGUAAUACAUCGGAACGUGCCCGAGAGUGGGGGAUAACGAGGCGAAAGCUUUGCUAAUACCGCAUACGAUCUCAGGAUGAAAGCAGGGGACCGCAAGGCCUUGCGCUCACGGAGCGGCCGAUGGCAGAUUAGGUAGUUGGUGGGAUAAAAGCUUACCAAGCCGACGAUCUGUAGCUGGUCUGAGAGGACGACCGGCCAAAAGGGGAAGGAGACACGGCCCAGACUCCUACGGGAGGCAGCAGUGGGGAAUUUUGGACAAUGGGCGCAAGCCUGAUCCAGCCAUGCCGCGUGCAGGAUGAAGGCCUUCGGGUUGUAAACUGCUUUUGUACGGAACGAAAAGACUCUUUCUAAUAAAGAGGGUCCAUGACGGUACCGUAAGAAUAAGCACCGGCUAACUACGUGCCAGCAGCCGCCGUAAAAC
rnacentral:rRNA from 1 species